rnacentral:ncRNA from 1 species
CGGUAACUAUAACAACGGUUGUAGUUAUAAAAUUCAGCUAUAUGCGGGAAAGUCUGGUUAGUAUCGGAUGAUACUCGUUGGGUUUCAGCCCAGCAGUAAAAAUGCAUCCGUGCAGGCAAUCCGCAGGAAAGACUUGGAAAAUUUAAAAUUCAAAAUGCAAAGUGCAAAACCACAAUGCAAAAUGAAAAAUUUCAGUUUUCUCAAGAAUCCUCAGAGACUAUACGCUGAAUCCGAUUCCACUGAAUCGGAAUGAUAUAGUCCGAACCCUGUGGCGACAUAGGG